AGAAUCAACGCUGGCGGCGUGCCUAACACAUGCAAGUCGCACGAGAAAGGGGCUUCGGCCCUGAGUAAAGUGGCGCACGGGUGAGUAACACGUGAAUAAUCUACCUCCGAGUGGGGAAUAACUGAGAGAAAUCUUAGCUAAUACCGCAUAACACUUACGAGUCAAAGCAGCAAUGCGCUUGGAGAGGAGUUCGCGGCCGAUUAGUUAGUUGGCGGGGUAAUGGCCCACCAAGACGAUGAUCGGUA
rnacentral:rRNA from 1 species